AUUGAACGCUGGCGGCAGGCCUAACACAUGCAAGUCGAACGGUAACAGGAAACAGCUUGCUGUUUCGCUGACGAGUGGCGGACGGGUGAGUAAUGUCUGGGAAACUGCCUGAUGGAGGGGGAUAACUACUGGAAACGGUAGCUAAUACCGCAUAACGUCGCAAGACCAAAGAGGGGGACCUUCGGGCCUCUUGCCAUCGGACGUGCCCAGAUGGGAUUAGCUAGUAGGUGGGGUAACGGCUCACCUAGACGACGAUCCCUAGCUGGUCUGAGAGGAUGACCAGCCACACUGGAACUGAGACACGGUCCAGACUCCUACGGGAGGCAGCAGUGGGGAAUAUUGCACAAUGGGCGCAAGCCUGAUGCAGCCAUGCCGCGUGUAUGAAGAAGGCCUUCGGGUUGUAAAGUACUUUCAGCGGGGAGGAAGGGAGUAAAGUUAAUACCUUUGCUCAUUGACGUUACCCGCAGAAGAAGCACCGGCUAACUCCGUGCCAGCAGCCGCCGUAA
rnacentral:rRNA from 1 species